rnacentral:rRNA from 1 species
CGCUGGCGGCGUGCUUAAUACAUGCAAGUCAACUUGACUUUAGAUAGCAAUAUCGAAAAGUAGGGUGGCGCACGGGUGCGUAACGCGUAGGUAAUCUGCCCUGAGGUCUGACAUAACCCGUCGAAAGGCGGGCUAACAUCAGAUGAUAUAUAAUCACGACAUCGUGGAAAUAUCAAAUCUUCGGAGCCUUGGGAUGAGCCUGCGUCUGAUUAGGUAGUUGGCGGAGUAAUAGCCCACCAAGCCUACGAUCAGUAGCUGGUCUGGGAGGAUGAUCAGCCACACUGGAACUGAGACACGGUCCAGACUCCUACGGGAGGCAGCAGUAAGGAAUAUUGCUCAAUGGGGGGAAACCCUGAAGCAGCAACGCCGCGUGAAGGAUGAAAUACUUUUGUAUGUAAACUUCUGUAAGAUGGGAAAAAUAUUCUCCUCGGGAGAAUUGAUUGUACCAUCAGAGUAAGCCCCGGCUAACUACGUG